GGGGGGAGCACCGGAUCUUGGGCUGUGUCCCCGGCGCCUUGUCCUCCCGGGCCAGCACUGUUGGAUUCUGCUCCCGGGUGCGCAGCCCCCU
rnacentral:pre_miRNA from 1 species